GGCUGGGAAGUAGUGAGCGUGGACAGCUAAGAUGAAAAAAAAAAAAAAGGACUUUUCCAAGAAAUCCACUUCAAUAAGGGAGGAAAUCGUUUUAGAGGCAUCAUUUCUAUCGGAAGGGAAAAAAAUAAAAAUAGAAAAAAUGAAAAUAAAAAUAAAACUCAACCGAAGCCCCUAAUUCAUUCUCACCCAUUCAUCUGCGACUUUGAAUUUUUCUCUCGUUUCUCAAUGAUUCUCUGGUAAGAUUUUGUUUCAAAAUCUAUUUGGAAUAGUCCAAGCUUGAUUUUUUCCCGGAAUUCUUUUGACGGUGUGAAACAAUCCAUUGUAUAUUUGAUUGUUUUGUAUCUCGAUGAUUUCCAUUGGUGUUCUUGGUAAAAGUAUGUGAUUAAUCAAAGAGAACCUUGCCUGCUUUUGAAGAAUCUGGGCUUUUAUGGUCACGGUAUUCCAUACUUCUAUCAACAUUUACCGCAUCAAAGAAGCAUGUGAUUGUGAUAGGACAAAGUCAAUGGAGGGACAUAGCUAAACAAAUUUGCGUAUGGUUGAUGAAAUGCUAGUAGUAGAUAUUGUCCAUAAUCUUAUAAGCUUAAAGUGUACCUAUGGAGAGAACAAGAAUGGUGAAAUCUGAUUUAAAUUGUUAACUUGAUAAA